rnacentral:lncRNA from 1 species
UAGAUAAAUAUAGGAAGAUGUGGUGUGAGUGCCAAUGAGACAACUCUCCAUCCAAAUAACAAUUUAUAAAAGUAAACUAUUUUAAGUCAAUGUACGUCCUUCAACACGGAGGCUUGGCUCACACCGAACAAAAAGCUAUAAAGGGCCCCAAAAUUACUAGUGUAAAACCAUUCAAACGGGAAAACCAACGGUCUAAUCUAUAUAAAAAACGAGAGCAUAUUCUUAAAAUAUUUUCCCGCACAAUAUCUGGACAUCAGUGGACAUGCAACAUUGCACACGUUUACAAAUGAAAAUCAACACUCAGACUAUAGUCAUAAAGUAGGACAAGUCAAUAAAAGAACAAAAUACAAACCCGAGACACAGAAGUACAAACAAU